UACGGAGGGGGCUAGCGUUGUUCGGAAUUACUGGGCGUAAAGCGCGCGUAGGCGGACCUGCAAGUCGGGGGUGAAAGCCCGAGGCUCAACCUCGGAACUGCCUUCGAUACUGCGGGUCUCGAGUCCGGGAGAGGUGAGUGGAAUUCCUAGUGUAGAGGUGAAAUUCGUAGAUAUUAGGAAGAACACCAGUGGCGAAGGCGGCUCACUGGCCCCGGUACUGACGCUGAGGCGCGAAAGCGUGGGGGAGCAAACAGG
rnacentral:rRNA from 1 species